UACGGAGGGUGCAAGCGUUGUCCGGAUUUAUUGGGUUUAAAGGGUGCGUAGGCGGUCUUUUAAGUCAGUGGUGAAAUCCUCCAGCUUAACUGGAGAACAGCCAUUGAUACUGGAAGACUUGAGUACAGACGAGGUAGGCGGAAUUUAUGGUGUAGCGGUGAAAUGCAUAGAUACCAUAAAGAACUCCUAUUGCGAAGGCAGCUUACUAGGCUGUAACUGACGCUGAGGCACGAAAGCGUGGGGAUCAAACAGG
rnacentral:rRNA from 1 species